rnacentral:rRNA from 1 species
CCUACGGGUGGCAGCAGUGGGGAAUAUUGCGCAAUGGCCGAAAGGCUGACGCAGCGACGCCGCGUGUGGGAGGAAGCCCUUCGGGGUGUAAACCACUGUCAGGAGGGACGAAAGAGCUCAUGGUGAAUAAUCAUGGGCAGUGACGGUACCUUCAAAGGAAGCACCGGCUAACUCUGUGCCAGCAGCCGCGGUAAUACAGAGGGUGCAAGCGUUGUUCGGAAUUACUGGGCGUAAAGCGCGCGCAGGCGGAUCCUGUAAGUCGGAAGUGAAAUUUCGGGGCUCAACUCCGAAGCUGCUUCUGAUACUGCGGAUCUGGGGACCGGUAGAGGCUGGUGGAAUUGCAGGUGUAGCGGUGGAAUGCGUAGAGAUCUGCAAGAACACCCGUGGCGAAGGCGGCCAGCUGGGCCGGGUCCGACGCUGAGGCGCGAAAGCGUGGGGAGCAAACAGGAUUAGAUACCCCUGUAGUCC